UCUCAUGAUUAUUAUUUGAUUAAGUACAUCAAAUAGUACUCAAGUACUGAUUAAAUACUCAAAUAGUGAUAAAGUAUAUCAUUCAUUCUCAUAUACUGAAUGAACCAUUGUUAGAAUAGCAGUUACCUGGUGGGUACUGUGAUUAAAGAUCUGUAUUUUGUCCUAGUGGAGAAAGGUGUAGACAUCUCCUUGCAAAAAAGGUGUUAACGGAAUUUAGAUGUUUCACGGGUUACUCAGAUUAACUAAUCAUAUGUGUAUUUGCUUUGUAGGUAGGUUUCUUACUUUGUUUAUAGUUGAGCCAAACACACCAAAUCAGUUCACCUGCAUUUUCCUGGUCUUAUCAGGACUAUAUGGGAAACGUAGAACUACCAAGAUUAUUUGAUGACUUCAGUUUUUAUCCACAUUAAGCCUAAUCUCUUCCUGUUUUCUGCCUACUCUUCAAACAAGUCAGUCAUGUAACCCUCAUGU
rnacentral:lncRNA from 1 species